GCGGUGGUAGUUCAGAUGGUAGAACGUCUCCUUGCCAAGGAGAAGGUCGCCAGUUCAAGUCUGGUCCACCGCUCCA
rnacentral:tRNA from 1 species